rfam:Ictidomys tridecemlineatus contig066422, whole genome shotgun sequence.
GGGGCUGUAGCUCAGCGGCAGAGCGCUUGCCUCGCAUGCGGGAGGCACUGGGCUCGAUCCUCAGCACCACUU